rnacentral:rRNA from 1 species
CAGCCCCCCGAGUGGUAGGGAUGUUUAUUUGGCCUAAAGCGUCCGUAGCCUGCUCUGUAAAUCUCUCGUUAAAUCCAGCGUCCUAAGCGUUGGGCUGCGAGGGACACUGCAGAGCUAGAGGGUGGGAGAGGUCAGCGGUAUUCCUGGGGUAGGGGCGAAAUCCAUUGAUCCCAGGAGGACCACCAGUGGCGAAGGCUGCUGACUAGAACACGCCUGACGGUGAGGGACGAAAGCUGGGGUAGCGAAUCGGAUUAGAGACCCGAGUAGUCC